rnacentral:rRNA from 1 species
GGGUGAGUAUACCUAGGAAUCUGCCUGAUAGUGGGGGAUAACGUUCGGAAACGGACGCUAAUACCGCAUACGUCCUACGGGAGAAAGCAGGGGACCUUCGGGCCUUGCGCUAUCAGAUGAGCCUAGGUCGGAUUAGCUAGUUGGUGAGGUAAUGGCUCACCAAGGCUACGAUCCGUAACUGGUCUGAGAGGAUGAUCAGUCACACUGGAACUGAGACACGGUCCAGACUCCUACGGGAGGCAGCAGUGGGGAAUAUUGGACAAUGGGCGAAAGCCUGAUCCAGCCAUGCCGCGUGUGUGAAGAAGGUCUUCGGAUUGUAAAGCACUUUAAGUUGGGAGGAAGGGCAGUUACCUAAUACGUGAUUGUCUUGACGUUACCGACAGAAUAAGCACCGGCUAACUCUGUGCCAGCAGACCGCGGUAAUACAGAGGGUGCAAGCGUUAAUCGGAAUUACUGGGCGUAAAGCGCGCGUAGGUGGUUUGUUAAGUU